GCGCCCUUAGCUCAGCUGGAUAGAGCACGUCCCUUCUAAGGAUGUGGUCAUUGGUUCUUAUAAAGUAUAAGAUGGCAGUG
rnacentral:tRNA from 1 species